AUUUGAUAUACAGAUAAGGUCUUCUGUCCUGCUUAUCUCUUUCUAAAAUUAUUAAGUGCUUUGAUGACCUUUUGAGGAAUAGUGUGCAAUUCUAAGUAGUGUUCAAACAGUGAAUGGCAGCACUUAAUAACAGCAGAAGGACUCAGGAAAUCCAAAGGAGCACAUUAGCAUGUCAUAAAGCUCUGGAAGUAAUUUACCUGAUUCUGAGACGUUAUUUAUACUCAAAGUGCUGCUUCCAUGAAAAGAGUAGAAAAUUAAACGACAAAAAAUUUGUUUAUUAUAGCUAAGACAUUUAAAUCAAAUAGCAAACCAAAAUUUGGGGAUUUUUUUUCAUAUUAGUUAACUUUUCUACCACCUAUUUAGAGCAGAUUCCUACACAUAGAAGAUGGCAUAAUCUGUAUGUGUCUUGCACCUACCAGGAGGUGAGCAGUUAUCCCUGUUGUCUUUGAAUCAAAAUAAAGCAAAAACCAAGAAAAGUCAUGACCAAGAGAAAAAUAAGACAUCAGUAUAGUUCAAAGGCUUUGCAUCACCAUAGGCAGCCAAAAAAAAUUAGGUUAACUCUUCCUCAAGAAAACAAAUCUCAUUAGCCAGUAGUCCAUCAUAUAACAAAUUUUAGGAUGAGUAUUGAACUACUUACUACCUGUAGCCAUCAUCAGUUACCUUGGGAAUAAUCAUUCAAUGAAUGUAAGAAGAUAAAUCUAGAUGGUAUUUGUAUAAAACAAUGGGACUUUUCUUGCCCAUGUUAUUUUUUAAAAAUUUUUAAUUAAAAAAAUUUUUUUUGGUCUUUUGUCUUAUCAGGGCCAUACCCACAGCAUAUGGAGGUUCCCAGGCUAGGGGUCUAAUCGGAGCUGUAGUCGCCGGCGUACACCAGAGCCAUAGCAACGCCAGAUCCAAACCCUGUCUGUGACCUACACCACAGCUCACAGCAACGCCAGAUCCUUAAUCCAAUGAGCAAGGUGAGGGAUCUAACCCUCAACCUCCUUGUCAGAUUUGUUUCCACUGUGCCAUGAUGGGAACUCCUCUAGUGUUAUUUUUUCCUUUCUCUGAAUAUUUAAUUAGUAGUAGCUUCUGUUCCCAUGACAUAUUGGGAUUCAUGAUAAGCCUCUGUCCAUGUACAAAUGCAUCACUAGACAGAAGGGUUAUCAACACAUGUAUUGUUUCUCUAUUUGUUUUUGUUAUAUAUGUGUAUUUGUGGUUCUAUAAUUCAUAAGACAUAUACAUAAAUAAGUGGUCAAUGCAAAGGCAGAAACAUAGGGCCUUAGGAACUUCUCUCUUUAUAUCCACCUCCUCUUUCACUCUACCUACUUUUUGAAAAUCCAGUUUCCAUGUCAUCACUUUUUAUUUUUUCCCCUUCACAGUUGAAUUUCAGCUCAUUUUUCCCUCUACGCAAUUCAGAUAGAAUCUAGAGGAUUGUACUAUUUUAUUUCUGUCCUUCGCUUCUAACUGUCCUUCUCUGCAGCAGAAAAGAGUCCAAGGAUGUGCUUAGGUAUCAUUACUGGAUUACUCUUCCCAAAACAGUAAUAAAAGUAUAGCUUAUCUUUUAGACCAACUGCAAGUUGGCUCAUUGUUUCUUAGCCAAUUGAUUGCAUUUUAUUCUCUGUCCUUCCCUGUACACAAAGUACCUCUAUGGUAUAAGAUGAGGGUAGAGACAGUUGAAGAGAAGUGUAAAAGUGUUUCCAUUUGUUUCCUACUGUUAGUAAAGUAGAAUGUUUUCAUUCAAUAAUCCUAGAGCACCUAGUGCUGUUUACUAACAUAAACUAAGUUUUCUUGUGAUUUUCUACCUGAAGAAAUCUAAGAUAUGAAAGAGACUAAUUGGAAGUAAGCAAAUCUGGACUGUUUUUUAAGUUCUUAAGUUCUAGCAAACUUGGAGAAGUUACUUAACUCCUUUGCAUCUGUUUCCUCUUCUGUAAGAUAAGUAAUGUAAUUGUUAUGUAUUACAGAUUAAUUUUUAAACUGAAGAACAUGUUAUGGUGGUAAUAGCAUGAUAUCUGAUGUUUACAUGUUGACAGUAAGCUAUAUUAUGUCAGAAAGACUGAUUUCUUUUUUUUAUUGGCUUAAGUUUUGAGUUAGUUCCCUUCUUGGCCAUCAGCUCUAACCAUAGACCUUCAUUAUAUCAUCCUGUAACAUCCUAGGUUUCUAUUAGAGGCUUCAAGGAAUUACUCCUAAAAUGUUAAUUAUGAAAGAAAUCUAUAGUAUAUACGGUCCAAAUCCUCUAAUGUUAUAUAUGAAGUAAUUAAUAUUUGGAUAAGUAAACAAGCUUUGUUUAGCUCUCAGACCUAGUGACUAACACAACCUGGGUUACACUUGAAAUUUUCUUACCUUCAAGUUAUGGUAUUGAUACUGCUUAUUAUAUAGGACUAUUCAAGUGAGAUGUUUGGAUGGGUUGAAAUGGUUGGGUUUAACAUGCUAAGUGUUAAACAUCUUUUAUAAAGUGACAUUCUAUGUUUGCAGCUCAAACAGGAUACACACGGAGCCCUCAGUAUCAGUCAUAGCUGAAAGGUUUUCUAGAACCUUAACAUAUGUUAAACAUUAAAGCUCUCUUACUAAAUCAGAGUUAUCUAGGGCCUAGCAAUUACAGCCUCCUGGUACUUCCAGGAAUACAUUAUCUUGCCCUAAUGGAGAGCAACUUAACCAAUGUUUCACUUCUUAAUUAGUCUUUGUUGGCCACUGAAGGGCCGAGGCUGAUGCUUAUGCUACCAGAUUCAUCUCUGGUAUUACUAAAGUCACUCUGAUAAACUCAACUAGUAAGACUAUAACAGUCUAGAUCUCAAAUGCAAUAAAGGAGCUCUACGGUCCAUCUAACCCCACAACCUUAAUUGCAGACACUCCUAUUAUAGUUUUCAUGGGGCAGAAGGAUUUUAAUUCUGUGGCUACCUAGGAACAUGGGGUGCUAUCUUGAAGAGAAAUUGUCCUUUCACAUUGCUCUGUGACAGUCCUCUAUUGUUUCUGUCUAUCACCCCAUUAAGAUGGCAACUUCAUUAGAGUAACAGUCUUAGGUGACUAAAAGUGCCCUAGGUGAAUAAUUGACUAGUCACAUAUUAUUAGGACAUAUUUCAUGCAAGACUGCGGCCUGAAGAUAUGUCAUACUUUGGAAAACUCAAUAUGAAACUAAACAAACUUUAACUUAUAAGCAAAUAAAUUGGAUAUCUGAGUUCCCAGUGGGAGGGCUGAUUAUUCAAAUUUUAGAGUUUUAUCACUUUAAAAAUGGUUCAGUACUGAGAUUCUUUAUAAAGUGCCCAUGGGAAUGUAUAUGUAACUUUCAUUAUUAAAAAUCCAAUAAACACAGUUGUUCAGGAAGCAAUCCAUUGUGCAGAGUAAGGCAUACAUACACAAUUUUUGGGUACUUCUUUUGGCUUAAACAUUGAGAAAAUCAAACCUUUGCAUACUAUCAGAAUUACAGAUUCAUUUGUGAUCCUUAUCAAUGGAUCAAGCCAAGAGCUGUGUAGUUUUUAAGAAGGUGGAUAUAUAUAGAGAGAGGUAUACUAUAUAUAUACCUCUAUUUGUUCAGGAUAAUCCCAGUUUAUAUAAGUUGUUUCAAAGCAAUUAUUAAUAGUGCCUCAAAAAUGUCCUAGUUUGGAUUAUGUGGUCACCUUAUUGUUAGAUUGCUUUACAAUGAAAUAAGCUCAUUGUUAGCUUGAAUACAGAAUGCCAUUACACAAAUAAAAUUCAGCUAGGACUAAAAGCAAAGCCAUUAGGACAUUCAUUCAUUAGUUCAUUAUGUAUUAUUCAAACUUAAGCAAGUAUUCCUUAGGCAUUGUGUGUCAAUAUUUUUUUUUUCUUUUUAGGGCUGAACCCAUGGCUUAUGGAAUUUCCCAGGCUAGGGGUCAAAUUGGAGCUGCAGCUGCUGGCCUAUGCCACAGCCACAGCAAUGCCAAAUCCAAACCAUGUCUGCAACCUACACCACAGCUCAUGGUAAUGCCGGAUCUUCUAACUCACUGAACAAGGCCAGGGAUUGAACCCACAUAUUCAUGGAUACUAGUUGCUUACCACUGAGCCAUAACGGGAACUCCAAUAAAUAUUUCUAAACAAUUUAUUGAGCCUUGAGGAUACCAAAGAUCCAAACGUGAUUUUGGACAAAGCAUAUAUGUAUGUUGUAUGUUUCAUUUAACAUUUAAUAAGAGAGAUUGCAAUUUACAUUGUAUAAAAAAAGGGAAUGGGUUUAUCAAGGUUUCGUAUCUUGCUUAUUAUUACACAGUAAUAUACAUGGAAAAAUUGAAAUUCAUAGGCACUCAUCAUUAAAAUUUUUACUUACACCUCCAUGAUUUUACUGUUUAGGCAUAAUUGAGAGAUGCAUGAAAGGACCUUGUACUAGUAUAUGGGAGAGAAUGGAGAGAAAUGAUAAUGAAAAAGGAAUAGGUAGAGCCCUUCUCAAUGUAGCAGCUUUCUCAGCUCUUGGGACCAUCCAAUGGGAGGGCUUAUCUAGGUCCUACCAGGGAAAGUGGGACCCAUGUGGAUAUGCUAACAUGGAUAACAUCUAUCCAGCCCACUGAAAGAUCUGCAGUUACACAAGUACUUCAUCAUGUUGGGCUGUAUUUCAUUUACUGUUCAAAUCACCCUUCCCAAAGUUACCUCCUUUACUCCAUGGAAAUCCCUACCCUCUUGCCAACCCUGUCCUUCAGCCUUCAAAAGAAGAAUAUUAUUUCUGUAAAUGUGCAACUGUUUCUAAAAUUAUGAGUAAAGUACAAAAGAAACAGAAC
rnacentral:lncRNA from 1 species